rnacentral:lncRNA from 1 species
GAAUGGUAUUGUUUAGGGUGUUGGGAGGAAGAGAGGAUUGCUCUUUUGUACCUCAAAGAAAAUAUAAACUUUCUAGAUGGAGAGAAGUUUCCUUCAUGGGUGGUUAAUGAGAUUGGAGCUGACUGUUGUCAAUGGGAAAGGGUUGAAUGCAGCAACACAAUUAAACGAGUAAUCCAAACUAAUCUUGAUGGGGCUAGGGAUCUGAAAUUGGGAGAUUAGUAUUUUAAUGCCUCUCUAUUUCUUCCCCUUCAAGAGCUCAGAAAUCUCUCUUUGUAUAAGAAUCAGUUAGUUGGUUGGACUGAGAAUGAAGGUGUGAUGCCAUAUCUCCUUAAUUAGGUAGCUUCAAUUUUAUCAUUCCUAUUUUGGUUGAGUGAUAAUUAUAGAUAUGUUGAACUUUGUUGCAGGUUUUGAUAGAUUGUCAAAGUCGAGAAAUUUGGAGGCCCUUGAUCUGGGUUCCAAUUCAUUUGAUCGCAAAAUUUUGUCAUCUCUUAGUUAGCUUUCUUCUCUCAAGCAUUUGAGAAUUCGAGGCACCCUUUUAGGGAGAGAAACUUAUGGCAAUAGUAAGUUCAAUAUACUUCAUAUUCUGGUGGCUAUUUUGUAGAUCAUGUAAUUAUCGAAG